GACGAACGCUGGCGGCGUGCUUAACACAUGCAAGUCGAACGGAAAGGCCUGCUUUCCCUUGUGGAUUGCGGGUACUCGAGUGGCGAACGGGUGAGUAACACGUGAGUGAUCUGCCCCCAACUUGGGUAUAAGCCUGGGAAACUGGGUCUAAUUCCCGAUAGGACUGCAGGGUGGUGCCUGUGGUGGAAAACGAUUUUCUAGUGGUUGGGGAUGAGCUCGCGGCCUAUCUGCUUGUUGGUGGGGUAAUGGCCUACCAAGGCGGCGACGGGUAGCCGGCCUGGGAGGGUGGACGGCCACAUUGGGACUGAGAUACGGCCCAGACUCCUACGGGAGGCAGCAGUGGGGAAUAUUGCACAAUGGGCGGAAGCCUGAUGCAGCGACGCCGCGUGGGGGAUGACGGCCUUCGGGUUGUAAACUCCUUUCGACCGCGAGGAAGCCACCUGGUUGGAAGGGUGGUGACGGUAGUGGUAGAAGAAGCACCGGCUAACUACGUG
rnacentral:rRNA from 1 species